rnacentral:misc_RNA from 1 species
CUGAGUUACCAAACUCCAAACCCGUGUGAACCUUACCACUGUUGCUUCGGCGGUCACGCCCCGGGCGCCGCUUGCGUGCCCCGGAGCCAGGCGUCCGCCGGAGGAUCCAAACUCAUGUUGUUUCAGUGUCUCUUCUGAGUGAGUGGGUUAUGAAAUAAAUCA